rnacentral:tRNA from 1 species
GAGGUUAUAGCUCAAUGGUAGAGCGUGUGCUUAGCAAGCACAAGGUGCUGGGUUCAAUCCCAGUACCUCU